UACGGGGGGGGCAAGCGUUGUUCGGAAUUACUGGGCGUAAAGGGCUCGUAGGUGGCCAACUAAGUCAGACGUGAAAUCCCUCGGCUUAACCGGGGAACUGCGUCUGAUACUGGAUGGCUUGAGUUUGGGAGAGGGAUGCGGAAUUCCAGGUGUAGCGGUGAAAUGCGUAGAUAUCAGGAGGAACACCCAUGGCGAAGGCAGCAAACUGGCCGGCAUCUGACGCUGAGGCGCGAAAGCGUGGGUAGCAAACAGG
rnacentral:rRNA from 1 species